UACGUAGGGCGCAAGCGUUGUCCGGAAUUAUUGGGCGUAAAGAGCUCGUAGGUGGUCUGUUACGUCCGCUGUGAAAACCCAGGGCUUAACCCUGGGCUGGCAGUGGAUACGGGCAGACUAGAGGUAGGUAGGGGAGAAUGGAAUUCCCGGUGUAGCGGUGAAAUGCGCAGAUAUCGGGAGGAACACCGGUGGCGAAGGCGGUUCUCUGGGCCUUACCUGACGCUGAGGAGCGAAAGCGUGGGGAGCGAACAGG
rnacentral:rRNA from 1 species